CCUUCGAUAGCUCAGUUGGUAGAGCGGAGGACUGUAGGUACUUAAACUAGUCAUCCUCAGGUCGCUGGUUCGAUUCCGCUUCGAAGGG
rnacentral:tRNA from 1 species